UGGAUCCAGACUUUGAUCAUGGCUCAGGACGAACGCUGGCGGCGCGCCUAACACAUGCAAGUCGAACGGAGAUUACAGGCGGAAGUUUUCGGAUGGAAGCUUGUAAACUUAGUGGGGGACGGGUGAGUAACACGUGAGCAACCUGCCUAUCAGAGGGGGAUAACGAUUGGAAACGAUCGCUAAUACCGCAUGACAUAGCGGAACCGCAUGGUUCUGUUAUCAAAGAUUUUAUCGCUGAUAGAUGGGCUCGCGUCCGAUUAGAUAGUUGGUGGGGUAACGGCCUACCAAGUCGACGAUCGGUAGCCGGACUGAGAGGUCGAACGGCCACAUUGGGACUGAGACACGGCCCAGACUCCUACGGGAGGCAGCAGUGGGGGAUAUUGCACAAUGGGGGAAACCCUGAUGCAGCGACGCCGCGUGAGGGAAGACGGUCCUCUGGAUUGUAAACCUCUGUCUUCGGGGACGAAACGAGACGGUACCCGAGGAGGAAGCCACGGCUAACUACGUGCCAGCAGCCGCGGUAAUACGUGGGUGGCAAGCGUUGUCCGGAAUUACUGGGUGUAAAGGGAGCGUAGGCGGGCAGGCAAGUCAGGCGUGAAAUAUAUCGGCUCAACCGGUAACGGCGCUUGAAACUGCAGGUCUUGAGUGAAGUAGAGGUUGGCGGAAUUCCUAGUGUAGCGGUGAAAUGCGUAGAUAUUAGGAGGAACACCAGUGGCGAAGGCGGCCAACUGGGCUUUUACUGACGCUGAGGCUCGAAAGUGUGGGGAGCAAACAGGAUUAGAUACCCUGGUAGUCCACACCGUAAACGAUGAUUACUAGGUGUGGGGGGACUGACCCCUUCCGUGCCGGAGUUAACACAAUAAGUAAUCCACCUGGGGAGUACGGCCGCAAGGUUGCAACUCAAAUGAAUUGACGGA
rnacentral:rRNA from 1 species